UCUCUGACAGUGCUGCUGUCUCCUUGCCUUCCUCUGGAGUGGAGUUGGGACUCAGGCGCUCAUGAUAAGACUCACCAUCUCUUCCACCUAAACUGCUGGGCAAGGGAGCAAGCUCUGAAGAUGAGGCACAGUCGCACCUAUUCUUGUUGGCCACCUGGCUGCCACAGUUUCAGGGAAAAGUGUGAGCGUGGAGCUGCCAUCUCCAUUUCACAGGAGAGGGACACGUGCUCAGAGAAGUUCUAGAUGUACAACGCUUUCCCAACUGCAAGUUGGCCUGUGGACACGGAGCGCGUCGACUGCUGUUGAAGAGGUCAGGUGGGGAGCAAGCCCUUGCUGGGAAUCCGAGAGCGCAUUGGUUUCCUCGAAACGCUCUGCGUGGAUCAAACAGGGAAAAAAAUUGCUGACGGAAACUCAACAACUAGCGAAGGCUAGCGCCAGCUCUCCAGACCCCAGUGAAGAGUGCCUUUCCCCAGAAGGCCAGGCCCCAUCUUGGGUGCAGACCCCAGCUGAGCAUAAGGCUUACCAGGAGAGCCUACCUGAGGAGCCUAUUGCAGCAGAAAGUGCCCUGAAAUACAGCCCAGGGCUAAAGUCCAUAGUAAGUCAGGGCUGGCAGGCUGAUCCGCUUCUCAGAGCCCUGGAGUCCUGGACUGUGAAAUGUACCUGGUCCUUCUUGUUCUGUCCACUUGUGGAAGCUGUUGGGGGGACUUCGCUUCUGGCCCACUUGGAAUAACAGGCACUGGAUCUAGCCUCCUGUCUGAAC
rnacentral:lncRNA from 1 species